rnacentral:rRNA from 1 species
AGGGAGCUUGCUCCCGGAUGUUAGCGGCGGACGGGUGAGUAACACGUGGGUAACCUGCCUGUAAGACUGGGAUAACUCCGGGAAACCGGAGCUAAUACCGGAUAGUUCCUUGAACCGCAUGGUUCAAGGAUGAAAGACGGUUUCGGCUGUCACUUACAGAUGGACCCGCGGCGCAUUAGCUAGUUGGUGAGGUAACGGCUCACCAAGGCGACGAUGCGUAGCCGACCUGAGAGGGUGAUCGGCCACACUGGGACUGAGACACGGCCCAGACUCCUACGGGAGGCAGCAGUAGGGAAUCUUCCGCAAUGGACGAAAGUCUGACGGAGCAACGCCGCGUGAGUGAUGAAGGUUUUCGGAUCGUAAAGCUCUGUUGUUAGGGAAGAACAAGUGCAAGAGUAACUGCUUGCACCUUGACGGUACCUAACCAGAAAGCCACGGCUAACUACGUGCCAGCAGCCGCGGUAAUACGUAGGUGGCAAGCGUUGUCCGGAAUUAUUGGGCGUAAAGGGCUCGCAGGCGGUUUCUUAAGUCUGAUGUGAAAGCCCCCGGCUCAACCGGGGAGGGUCAUUGGAAACUGGGAAACUUGAGUGCACAAGAGGAGAGUGGAAUUCCACGUGUAGCGGUGAAAUGCGUAUAGAUGUGGAGGAACACCAGUGGCGAAGGCGACUCUCUGCUCUGUAACUGACGCUGAGGAGCAAAAUCGU